ACAGAGACUGCAAGCGUUAUUCGGAUUCACUGGGCGUAAAGGGUGCGCAGGCGGUCGCGUGUGUCAGGUGUGAAAGCCCGAGGCUUAACCUCGGAAUUGCGCCUGAAACUACGUGACUAGAGCAUUGGAGAGGGUAGCGGAAUUCACGGUGUAGCAGUGGAAUGCGUAGAUAUCGUGAGGAACACCAGAGGCGAAGGCGGCUACCUGGACAAUUGCUGACGCUCAGGCACGAAAGCGUGGGGAGCAAAAGG
rnacentral:rRNA from 1 species